CUGGGAGCACCUUUGUGGACCUGUGUGGGCCACACACAUGGCCAGGGAUCAUUCAAUUGGAGCCACGCCACUCCAGCCGAUGCGCUGCGCUCCACUUGGAAAUGGGUCAAUCACGCCGACGGACCACCGGCCAGCAAGCACCAAGCACCGCCCGUCUGUCUGCUGUCUUCUUAGAUCACGAGAUGGACCCAUCCACAUCCACGUCACGGUGGCUUAGUUCUUACUGAGUCUCCUUCUGGAUUACUUCAGUUAUGAUUAAUUUCAUUUAGUUUAUUUAAUAUUUAUUUUUGCACUGGGUGGCAUUUGAUUAAGCUGAUAAUUAUGCAUCUGUGCAGUAGAGGAAACUGAGAAAAUCGAGAGCUAUGCCGGUCAACUUUGCAGCGAUUGUUUUUUACAUCUGCAGCCGUUACUCAGGCUCAACUGCGAUAUUGAAGUCACGUAGGCACACGAAAGGGAGGCGAUUGCAUUGGAUGUAACGAUCUUUUCAAUGCUAGACUUUAUGGCUACAAAAUGGCAAUCUCUAGGCAAAGCCCUUUCGUACCAGGCACCCGCUUCGGUCUUAUUUAAUCUUAUUUGUUUUCGUGGGUGGACUAGUGCCAAUCUUAAAGUGUGAGUAAUUGCGCAAUUAGCACACGAGUCUGGAGAAAUCUUAUCGCAAUUCCCAGAAAUGGGACUCGAACGAAGUACUAGCUGAAAUUUAUUAGUGCAGGUUAUUUUUGAACCGUCUAACAUCUUAUCAGCUGAAGACCUGCCUUCCGAUAACAUGAGCAUCGUCGAGUGUUCGUUCAUUCAUAAAAAAAAGUCGGAAAGCGAUCGGCGUAUUUCUGCGCGUAACCGUGGACAAUGAAGUUCUAUUUCCGUUUCCUGUUGUGAUCAGAUCGUUAUCGAGCGAUAACCGGAGAAAUUUCAAAUUUAAUGGAGUGUCUGAUUGUCGAAUCGAAUCAAAGGCAAUUGAAGCGCACACUUAGCGUUCACGUUCCCACCUUGCCGCAGUUCACCUGAUGGCGCAACAAGCUGCACGCAAUUUCAUCCGAGGGAAAUUGCACCGCAAAAACUGACAAGAAAUAAGUGCGAGUUUAGUUGUGAACUUGUAUCAAAUGAAGGUGUCUU